UACAUAGGCCUAUAUUGAACUACAAACUCUAAAGGUUUCGUUUGCAGUUGACAAACAACAAAGAAGGGAUAAAUUUUUUCUCUUCAACCCUCCAAUCUACAAUUUCGAUGAUAUAUCACUGCCUAACGAUUAUAGGCGCUAAAAAGGUAUAGAAUAAUUAAAAAGAGAUUAUGGAUAGCCAGAGAACCGUUUAAAUUGAAAAAACUUGUACUUUUGUCUUCUUUUUUUAACUUCUAGAUUGUUCGUUUCAAAUGACGCAUUCCAAUAGAUUUUAUAUUCUUUUCAUUUCUUUUUUUUUAAAUCAACAGCAGAUAUAGAGAGGAUCAGUCAAUAAUGAAGAAAGUUGUCAACAUUCCAGUACCUAGUGGUAUACACGCUUAUCAAGUUGUCUCCCUCUGGGAUUCAAUCGUACCUGACGAACUGGUUGGAGUUGAUGUUAGGCCGUUAGACGAUGGAGUUGAAUGGCUAGUUAGCUUUUGGAUUGAAAAGGAGAUGAAGACUGUUGUAUCGAGAUUAGUUAAAAAUAUUAUUGAGAUUUUUGAAAAUGACAUUGGAAUUAUUAUUCGAAAGAUACCAAUAGGAAAAUUUGAAUAUGUGACAAGUGAAACAAAACUGAAGGAAGAGUUGACAAAUGUUACAAUAACUCCCCUAAGCGAUAUACGAAGGAAUGAAAUAGUAAUCGUUGGAAAACGACAAGACAUUCACAAAGCUUUGGAGCAUAUUCAUGAGAUUUUAGAAAAAAAUCGUUGAUUUUUUCUUUUAAACAGUUCUCUCUCUCCCUCGCUCCUCUCUCUCUCUCUCUCUCUCUCUCUCUCUCUCUCUCUC
rnacentral:misc_RNA from 1 species